AUUCCUCUUGUCCCAAAGUCCCACUUAACUUAUGGGUAUUGUGGGUGGAUUGGUUAAGAUCUUCUGCUCUUCACUGAACCAUAGAAUAUUGAAUUUGAUACCAACUUCUGCAAAAAUUGGCUGGUUCCUUCUCAGGUGAUUUUUCUAAAUUAAGUUCUAAUUUUCCAAUAAAUUUCUGCCGAUUCUGAAUUUCUAAUGAUAUCAUUCAAUCUGCCACCUUAUCUAAGCCUACAGUUUUACCAGUCCACAAAUUAAAUUCAUAUACAAACUGAAGCACAAUUAUUCUUAUGAUAAUCACCCAUUUUGGUUAUAGAAUUAAUUAUUCUUGAGAAGUUCUGAGAAAUUUGGUAUGUUACAGACACUACACUUCAAAUUAUCUUGAGUUUCUUCGGUUUAUGAAUCUUUGUUUCAUGGUUGAAAACGUUGUUGUUGUUUUCCUAUUAUAGGAUGGUUUUUGCUUUGAAUGUCAUUGGAGUAAUCCCAGAUGAACUAUGGACUUUGAAUUUCUUGUUCAAUCUCUUUGGGAUGGCUCUUCGCAAGCGGAAUUGUUUCAUCAUUGGAACCAAAUUAGGGUAUUUUUGUUGGAACAAAUGGAGAUAUUUGGAUGACCAGUUUGAAGUUUGAACAAUUCGGGAAUUGUAAGGUAACACCAGCUCGGAAAUAAUGUUGAGUGAACAGAAAAUUGUGGAUUUUUUAAACAGGUAGAGGCUUAUUUUCAUUAGUUCAAGUGUAGUAGUGCCAGACUGCCAGGUAUUAACUAGCUUUAUCCCUUUUUCAUUGCUACUUCUUGCUGCUUCAUAUUGGUAAUAUGGUUCCAGGAAGAAUCUGAAACUGGACAUAAAAACAUGGGUUUGUAUCUAUUGAUUCUACUCUAAGUAAACUUUGAGAUUUCAGUUUUAAGUUUUAAAUUUUUUUUAAAAAGUUUUUUUUAUUCACUUUGGUUUUUCUUAUACAGUCAAACUGAGAUGGGUGAAAGGAAAAAAACAAAAAAAAAUUUCUUAUGGAUUUUAUGAGAUGUAUACAUGUUGAUUGUUGAUUGUGAUGAAUAGAACUGAGAAGGAAAAAAGACACUAUUUAGGAGCCAUUGAGAGUAGGGAAGAAGCCUAAAAUUUGCUUCUAAUGCUGCUGCAUUUGGGUUAAUCAAAAGUUAUGUAGACAUGUGCAUGCAUUUAUAUGUGCUGUGUUUCUUUUGGAGAUUUUACAUUUUUGAGUUACUUAAGUAAACAAUAUAUGGGUUUUUUUUUUUUUUUUUGGUUCUGUGUAUGCGUCUUUUAAUGUGCUAUGUGUUCCCAUUUUUGGUAUUAUUCAGUUUUGAGAGAUGGGUGUAAAAUUGUGUUUAUGAAACCGCAAUACAAAGUGCACUGUAUUAAACAAAAUCAUUGCAGGUAUGUUAGCUUUCAAGAAUGAUUGUUUUGGUAUUUUAUCUUUAAUUCUUACUUAUCAAAUUGAUACUAGAGUAUCUAAAUGAAGGAUUUACACUUGAUCCACUGGGAUCAAAUUCCAACAUGCAAGUGAUUCUGCUACUAAUAAAAGGCCGGACAGUUUGUAAAAUGCAUUUGAUUCUUUUUACCCAAUUUUGUAGUCUAACUUGCAAAUAAUUCUAAUUGAAAAGCUUCACAGUUUGUAACUUAAUUUGGAUCCUAUUGUUUUUAGUAGCUUUCUCGUGAAUUAUAUAAGUUUGCGACUAGUAAAUAAUAUAAUAAUAAAAAAGUGACCUUUUUGUUUUCCUGCUUCUAGAAUUUUAUUGUUGUAUUCAUUUGAAUAAGCCUACUUUUAUUCAGAACAGGAAGUGCAUGUAUAACUUUCUAGGCAAUGUAAAGAAAAGUUUAAUAUAACAUGAUUUUUUUUUCACUAAAUAUAAAAUUUUAUAAUUAUGGUAAUUAUAUUAAUAAUAGGCAUUUAUUAUGAGUAUGUUUGUAUAUGGAAUUAUAUAUUCUACAAUUCAAAGAAAAAAAUAAAAAAGUAAAACUUAGGCACACUUCCUUAGUUCCAAUAUAUUAGGUUCUCCAAUUAAAUUAACAACUUGAUUACAUUGACCAAUGUAAAACAAAUAGUGUUAUCUUUUCCAAUAACUAUUAAAUCAAUCCAGCUAUUUGUUUGGUUUUAAUUGUGAAACCUAUAUAGUUGCACAUAGGAAAUUGUACCUAAGUUUUAUCUAAAUAUAAUUAUGUUUAUAUUCAUAAUUAUGUUUCUUUCUUGGGUACGAUGUUGAACAAAAGGAUGUUAUGAUCCCAUUGCCCAUCAAUCCAAUUCUUGAUUUAUUUCCUAAGAUUUUGUCCACCAACUCCUUUAUGUGGAGCCAGCUGCUCUCACCUUCAUCGUUGUCCUUUAUCUCUAACCAGGCUACAGAUCCUUCCUGCAAUCUUGUUAGUGAGCCUUAUUGCUCUUAUUGGGUAAGUACUCUUCCAUUUCAUCUUUGUGACUUUCAUUGCUCUUUUGCCCUUGCAUGUCUUCUUUCAUUGCUUUUCUGCCCUUGCAUGUCUUCAUGAAUCUUGCACUUUCAACGAGGCUUCUUAUAACCCAUUAUGGCAGUAAGCUAUGAACGAAGAGUUGGACGCACUGCAUAAAACAUAGACUUGGGACUUGGUUGAUCUCCCAACUGAAAAAUCUACUAUAAGUUCACUACAAAACACGCGGGUCUUAGGUUGUGUUUGUAAAAAUGCGGCU